GGGGAAUAUUGCACAAUGGGCGCAAGCCUGAUGCAGCCAUGCCGCGUGUGUGAAGAAGGCCUUAGGGUUGUAAAGCACUUUCAGCGAGGAGGAAGGGUAGUGUGUUAAUAGCACAUUGCAUUGACGUUACUCGCAGAAGAAGCACCGGCUAACUCCGUGCCAGCAGCCGCGGUAAUACGGAGGGUGCAAGCGUUAAUCGGAAUUACUGGGCGUAAAGCGCACGCAGGCGGUUUGUUAAGUCAGAUGUGAAAUCCCCGCGCUUAACGUGGGAACUGCAUUUGAAACUGGCAAGCUAGAGUCUUGUAGAGGGGGGUAGAAUUCCAGGUGUAGCGGUGAAAUGCGUAGAGAUCUGGAGGAAUACCGGUGGCGAAGGCGGCCCCCUGGACAAAGACUGACGCUCAGGUGCGAAAGCGUGGGGAGCAAACAGG
rnacentral:rRNA from 1 species